UGGGGAAUAUUGCACAAUGGGCGCAAGCCUGAUGCAGCCAUGCCGCGUGUAUGAAGAAGGCCUUCGGGUUGUAAAGUACUUUCAGCGGGGAGGAAGGUGUUGAGGUUAAUAACCUCAGCAAUUGACGUUACCCGCAGAAGAAGCACCGGCUAACUCCGUGCCAGCAGCCGCGGUAAUACGGAGGGUGCAAGCGUUAAUAGGAAUUACUGGGCGUAAAGCGCACGCAGGCGGUCUGUCAAGUCGGAUGUGAAAUCCCCGGGCUCAACCUGGGAACUGCAUUCGAAACUGGCAGGCUAGAGUCUUGUAGAGGGGGGUAGAAUUCCAGGUGUAGUGGUGAAAUGCGUAGAGAUCUGGAGGAAUACCGGUGGCGAAGGCGGCCCCCUGGACAAAGACUGACGCUCAGGUGCGAAAGCGUGGGGAGCAAACA
rnacentral:rRNA from 1 species